UUAUAGUGGAAGAGAAUAAAAAAGAAGAAGAUAGGAGUGCAAAAAGAAGAAGAUAAGAAGAGAGGGAAAAUAUGAGGAUGAGAGAGAGAGGAGAAGUAGGCGGCUGAAAAAGGGAAGAAAUAAUGGAAUUUUAGGGUUUUGUCUAUAAGUUGAUAUAUAUUAAAUUGCUAGUAAAGGCUAAAAAGAGUAACUUGGGUAAAGUAGGGCCAUUAUUUUGCCCGAGUGGCCAUAGAGUGAUGAUUUCUGAUCAUUGGAAGGUAGAAAUGACACAAGAUAGUCAUUCUAGAGGACUGAUAUUUAGGAAUUAGCCAAUGAGUCAUGAAUUUUAGUUUUUCAGGACACAAAGUCCAAAAAUUAAAAAAUUUAGAAAAAAAUAAGUACUGACCGAUCCUUAAAAUAGCAGCUCUAAAAAUGACUAUUUGUGUAGUUUCCCCAUCAUUAAGGGCCUAAUAGGCCAGGCAGAUCAUCUUAGUAAUUCAUAGCCGAAAUGGAGGCAAAAGAGGUAGUAAUGUUGUUGGCUAGCCACUUUUCAAUCCUGUAAUUAAGAAACUAACAAUUGUUAUGAAGUUCAAAAUUUUACAGGUGAAACUCGAGAACAAUAUAAUAUCUAUCCAUGAUAUUGUCUAUUUUUCAAUUACAGAGGCUGAAACGUGAGUAUUUGUGAAUUUUGCCUGGCAAAAGGGCAACUAUUAGCGACAAGACUUUUAGCGCAACCGCCAAUCAAGUAACAAAUCCAUGGUAGAUUUGGGAACAAAUAAAUGUCGCUUGUGCAAUGGAUCUAGCUAAAUGUGCAUCUCACGACUUAACUUUAAUAAAUCGUCUAAUAUACAAAUUAAAUAUUUUUUGAAAUUAUUGAAAAAUAUAUUAUUGACAUAUGUUUUGUUUUGUUGGUUAAGGCUUAUAUAAGUUCAAAUAUGUGGUAUAAAAGUUCUCGGAUUUUGAAAUAUCCGAUAUUUUUUCACCCUGAAAUCAAUAAUCAAAUAAGAAUUUUUUGAAAACUAAAACCAAACACAUUAUAAAAACCAAAAAAUUCAGUUUUAGAUUUUUUAUUUUUUUUUUAACUUACACAUUUCUAAUAUUCAUUGCAUUAAUCCUAUCUGCAUUUAUUCCCUUGAAAGUUGGAUCUCUCUUUAUUUACCUAAAAACUAAAAUCCACUUAAUUAAAGCAUACAUUAUCUUAUGGUAUUAUUCUCAGUUUCCUUAUGAUAGUGUUUGAUAGAAUUUGCUUCUUGAAGAAGGCUCCAACUCCUGCCAUUCAUUACUACCAUGAGACGGGCACGAUGAAUGAAAUCCCUUUCACUUUUAAUUAUAGGUCUCGGAUUUAAACUUUGAGAACAGAAAAAUCCGUGAAAGUUAAGAAAUAAGUUGAGUUAGUAUGCUUAGAAUAUACUAAAUGAUUAUGAAAGGAAAGAAAAGCUCUUGCCAAUUCAUUCAUUAAUAUGAUUCCAUUUUUUCACCACCCCACAAUAGUGAAUCUUAUCAAGAUUUAGGUUCUUGUCACUUUAUUCUCAUGUCGUCAUUUCAAACCUACAAAACUAGAGCGUGAGGGUCCAUCUUUUUUCCAUGCAACAAAAAACGUUGCCAUUUGCCUAGGUAUCUGAUUCGAACUCCUCCUCCUCUUCUUUCUUCUUCUCCUACUUAUUCUUUGUCUCAACUACAGUAAUGGCAGGAAACGGCAUUAAAAAACUUCGGAAACUGCCUCACGUGUUUGGCAAGGUUCUUGAAUUGCCGUUUCGGUCCGAUGCGGAUGUGGAGGUGGAAGAAAACCCAGAAUUCUUCCGUUUCGUGACCGAAAUCGGCGUGCACGGUGAUGUCAACAGCACCAUUGACAUUACUAACGUGAGAGCUGAGGCAGUGGAGAUACAUCCUGGAAUGACGAAGAUUGUGGUGAGAAAUGGAGCCAAAGGUGGCAAAGCGGAGUUGUUGUUGGAACAACUGAAGGUGGACACGUGGAGGUAUAGGUUGCCUGCGUCGGCGAAACCGGAGCUGGCUACGGCGGCGUUUGUGGACGGAGAGUUAAUCGUGACGGUACCAAAGGGUGAUAAUGGUCGUAGAGGAUUCGGCGGAAGGGACAACGUUUUGGUACGCAGGCUUCUUGUUGUGUAGCAGUGAGAGCAAAGUUCUGAUCCGUCCGUUCCAUUUUUGUAUGCAUUUUAAUUUAACUAUGCAUGAAAUUUAAGAAGAGGGCUCAGAAGUAACCGUAACAUUAUUUUCAUAUGAUUUAGAGGUUACGAGCCCUAUGAAAUUAACCUAUAUGAAUACAGAAUAAUUUAUGUACCCAUGUACGAAAUUUAAGAAUGCAAGAAAACUUUUCUUGAUGUUGUGUGGUAUAUUGACUACAUGAUUGAAAUUAUGCAAGUCCCUCAUGCAACAACAUCAUGAAUUUUCUAUCUGUUCCUUAUUUGUUCGAAUUUCGAGAUCCGGUAAAUGAGUUUUUUUUAUCGUAAUUUUUUUAUAUUUUUUAAAAUAUUUAAAUUAUUAAUUAUUGUGACUUAUAAUAUUUUUAUUUUCUAAAUAUAUAAAUUUUAUUUCAAAAAACCUAAAGAUUCUAUAUUCAAUUUCACAAUCAAAAUUAAAAUAUUUAACUCUUGAAAUUCGAAUGGUUCCACAAAAUUAAUUGAGACAAAAAGGGACUGAAGGAGUAGUUAUCUUGCGUUAAGAAUAGUAGAUGAGAAAAAGAUACUUUAAUUGAAAUACAAAAUUUUAUUUCUUGGCCAAAGACUUGAAGAAAAUGAUGGAAUGCUGUACCUAUACAAUUAUUUCGUGCUUGUGUAAGAUGAUUUCCUGGAACUUAUUCUUCACGAAGAGUCAUUAACUGCUCAGCUACCUGAUUGUAUUUUUAGAAAAUUGAUCAGAAUUGAAGGCAUUUGGUAUAUGAAUUAGAUAAU
rnacentral:lncRNA from 1 species